UCCCUGGUAGUAUAUCGGUUAGUACACGCGCCUGUCAUUCAACGAAGUUGAACUGGCCGCGCGAAAGCGGGGUUCGACUCCCCGCCAGGGAG